rnacentral:rRNA from 1 species
UUCCAGACUCCUACGGGAGGCAGCCGUGGGGGAUAUUGGACAAUGGGGGAACCCCUGAUCCAGCGCCUCCUCGUGAGUGCAGCAGUAUUUCGGUCUGUCCAGCUCUGUCAUCCUGGAAGAAAGCCCUGACGGUACCUUCUCCAGAAGCCCCUGCUCACUACGUUCCCGCCGCCGCGGUCCUCCGUAGGGGGCCCUCGUUAUCCGGAGUUCCUGGGUGUAAAGGGAGCGCAGGCGGCGUGGCAAGUCAGAUGUGAAAACCCGGGGCACAACCCCGGGAGUGCAUUUGAAACUGCCAUGCUGGAGUGCCGGAGAGGGAAGCGGAAUUCCUAGUGUAGCGGUGAAAUGCGUAGAGAUGAGGAGGAACACCAGUGGCGGAGGCGGCUGACUGGACGGUAACUGACGCUGAGGCUCGAAAGCGUGGGGAGCAAACAGGAUUAGAUACCCGAGUAA